GCGGAAGUGGUGCAGUGGUAGCACACCUCCUUGCCAAGGAGGUGGUCGCGGGUUCGAAUCCCGUCUUCCGCUCCC
rnacentral:tRNA from 1 species